rnacentral:rRNA from 1 species
UAUCUCUGUAGAGUCUGCAUAUCAAUAAGCGGAGGAAAAGAAACUAACUAGGAUUCCCUCAGUAACGGCGAGUGAAGCGGGAAGAGCUCAAAUUUGAAAUCUUCAAGGUUUUACCUUGACGAAUUGUAGUUUAAAGAAGUGUUUUCUGUUGGAGUUUUGGUAAAAGUUCUUUGGAAUAGGACAUCAUAGAGGGUGAGAAUCCCGUAUUUGACCAUUAUUUCCAGCUUUGUGAUACACUUUCAAAGAGUCGGAUUGUUUGGGAAUGCAGUCCAAAAUGGGUGGUAAAUUUCAUCUAAAGCUAAAUAUUGGCGAGAGACCGAUAGCGAACAAGUACCGUGAGGGAAAGAUGAAAAGAACUUUGAAAAGAGAGUUAAACAGUACGUGAAAUUGUCAAAAGGGAAGCGUUUGACACCAGUGUUGUUUUCUACGAAAAUCAAUUUAUGAUGGCUUGAUGCUAAGCUUUAAGACUUUAUCCGCUUGUUGUUUAGUUUUCUUGUCUUUGUGAAUGCACUUUUCGUGGAAUAAGUCAACAUCAAUUUCUUUUGCUGUAAAAGGGUAAGAGGAAGGUGGCUUCGGCUUCGGUUGAAGUGUUUAUAGCCUUUUAUCUCUGCAGUCGGAGAGAUUGAGGUCUGCAGCGUAGACUCUUCGGGGUUAGAUACGUCGGUGCUAAGCUAUAGCUUUUCAUAGACAACUUGUUGACUAUGUUUAGUCAUGUGGCUUACCCGCUGGCGCUAUUUUACCUACGCUUAGGAUGUUGAGUCAUCACACAUCUCU